AACGAAACACGCAUAAGCAAAAAAAUGUUUUCAUUACAACAUGUACCCCUGCACUAGGAAAAUAAGGCACUCGGCACUCGUGAGCCGUCGCAUUUCCCCCCGUGUGACCAAUUCCUCUCCGGGCCGAGCAGCCGUUCCAAUCCGCUCACGCCGCCUCUCUCGCUGCCCCGCUUGACCGCCUGCUAGCGCUGCAGUUUGAUGCUGAUGACCUGAUCCCUCCGUUGGGUAGGUUCUUGGGCGCGGAAAGAACAAAGAACUCGUGGUGGGUCCGGGUCCGCAAGACCCUAGGUGUUCGUCAGCAGCGAGGAUGCCCGGCCUGCCUCUGCCUCAAUCGUUAAAUCAGAAUAUUGGAUGUGAAUAUGCCUAUCCUGGGUCUACAGGCCAGGCCUUCCGUCAGCAGCUAAGAACUGCAUUGUCUCCAGAUGAGAAACUUACCGCUGAAAAAGAUUUGGCUCUGUAUUGCAAGCCAGUCGAGCUCUACAAUAUUAUUCAACGGCGAGCCAUGAAAAAUCCCCUUUUUAUUCAAAGAUGCCUUCUUUAUAAUAUACAUGCGAGGAGGAAAAAGAGGAUUCAGAUAACCAUAUCACUUUCUGGAAGUACAAAUACUGAGUUGCAAACACAUUAUGUCUUUCCUCUUUAUGUUCUGUUAGCUAGACCCACUAGUAACCUUUCACUUGAAGGGCAUUCUCCAAUUUAUCGAUUCAGUCGGGUUUGCUUGCUUACUUCCUUUAGUGAACAUGGAAAUAAGGACAACAGUGAAGCUACAUUCAUCAUUCCUGACGUGAAGAGUUUGUCAACCUCCCGUGCUUGCAACCAUGAUAUUAUCUUUAUUAGCUGUGGGCAAGUUGGACAAAGUAAUGGUGAAGAUAACUGCUCUGGGAACCAUGUGGAAGAUUCUUCUCUCCAAAUGCUUGAAGGGAAAUGCUCCUGGGGUAAAAUACCAACUAAUUUACUUGCUUCAUCUUUGGAGAGUUGUGUCAAUUUAAGUUUGGGACAUAUUGUGGAGUUGGCAUCUAAAGUUACAAUGAGACCAAGCUUCUUAGAGCCAAAAUUUCUGGAGCAAGACAGUUGCUUGACAUUUUGCUCUCAUAAGGUUGAUGCUGUGGGUUCAUAUAAACUACAACUAUGCAUGUCCGCACAAGAGGCUGGUGCAAGAGAUAUGUCUUUGUCUCCAUAUAGUAGUUACUCAUAUAAUGAUGUCCCACCUUCGUCAUUAUCAGAUAUCAUAAGGUUAAGAUCUGGCAAUGUACUUUUUAAUUACAAGUACUACAAUAAUACAAUGCAAGAGACUGAAGUCACUGAAGAUUUCUCUUGUCCAUUUUGCUAUGUACGAUGUGGAAGCUUCAAGGGUCUAGGAUGCCAUUUAAACUCAUCACAUGAUCUAUUCCACUAUGAGUUUUGGAUAUCUGAAGAGUACCAGGUUGUUAAUGUUAGUCUGAAGGCUGAUGCUUGGAGAACAGAGUGUUCUUCCAAAGGUUCGUUUAAAUGGAGGCUCCACUUAGUUGGGCAAACCGAAGGCAUUGCAUGUUCCUUAGUCCAGGACGACUCCCUGCUUUGUGAUUUCCUUCCUUUCUUGAGUGCAGAAGCCAAGGAUGAAAGAGCAUUGGCUAUUCUAUAUCUCCAAUCAAAUUCCUUACAUAGUCUUUUUGCGGAGGGCGUUGAUCCAAGGCAUCAAACAUUUUCUUAUCGCUCAAGGUUUAAGAAGCGUAGACGAUCAAAGAACACAAUGGAGAAAAUCAGGCAUGUACACUCACAUAUUAUGGAAUCAGGUUCACCUGAAGAUGAGGCAGGAUCUGAGGACAACUUUGUGCAAGGGGAGAAUGGGACUUCUGUAGCAAAUGCUUCGAUUGAUCCUGCUCAAUCUUUACAUGGCAGCAAUCUUUCACCACCAACAGUACUACAGUUUGGGAAGACAAGGAAGCUAUCUGAGAGAUCUGACCCUAGAAAUCGGCAACUCCUGCAAAAACGACAGUUCUUCCAUUCUCACAGGGCGCAGCCAAUGCAACUGGAGCAAGUGUUCUCGGACCGUGAUAGUGAAGAUGAAGUUGAUGAUGAUAUUGCUGACUUCGAGGAUAGAAGAAUGCUUGAUGAUUUUGUUGAUGUUACGAAAGAUGAAAAACUUAUUAUGCAUAUGUGGAAUUCAUUUGUUCGAAAACAAAGAUGGUGCUAUGUCACAAUACACAAGGGUGGCAUGACAAGAUGAGCAGUGGUGGUCCACUCGCAAAGAAGAUGGCGCAGCUAGGAGGUCUUUACUACUCAACUACAGCUAUUGCACUGACUACAUUGAGUGUUAGCUGAUGGUCAUAUACCUUGGGCCUGCGAGGCAUUCUCCCAGUUGCAUGGACGACAACUUAUACAAAAUCCUGCUCUGCUGUGGGGUUGGCGUUUCUUCAUGAUUAAACUUUGGAACCAUAACAUUUUAGAUGCCCGCACUAUGAACACAUGCAAUACAGUCCUUCAAAUUUUACAAGAAGAAAGCACAGGACUAAAGUAAUUUUGAUGCUUCUGAUGAAAAUUCAAGGGAAGAAGAUUUCUUUACCAUUUCCAAGAAGAAAGCAUAGAAUUGGAGUAACUUUUUAUUGAUAAUUUCAUUCAUAUCUAUUGUCAAUUGUAUUAAUGGUUUUUAAAAGAGACAAAUCAUGUCUAACUCUCACGCUGUAAUAUUCUAAGUCGUACGUGAAUUUGAUGAAUAUUCAUUGUUGUUUUACUUAAGAGUUAUCGUAUUGA